CUUAUGCUGGGCAACCAUUAAUCUGUUCUCCAUAAAAAUUUGUAAUUUUAAAAAUGUUUUAUAAACUGAUUUUUAUGUGAUCUGUAAUGUUUGUGAGGGUAUCUCUGUAUUAGUUUGCUAGGGCUGCCAUAAAAAAAUAGUGGGUAGCUUAAAUAACCGAAAUUUCUUUUCUCACAGUUCUGGAGGCUGGAAGUCCAAGAUCAAGGUGCUAUCAGGGUUGGUUUCGGCUGUGGCCUCUCUUCCUGGCUUGUAGACAGCUAUCUUCUCGCAGUGUCCUCACGUGGCCUCUUUGUGUGAAGUUAAAAAUGAACAGAUCAACCUUUUACUCUUCUCUGAAAAAUAUAGUGAAAUUAAUAAUCAAGAACGAUUUUCUGAAAUGAAAACAUCCGAACAGCAUACUGCAAAGACAUUCAGGGGAAAAUAAAAUAGGUUUUGGCAAACGUCUAAUGACACAGAGCCACCAUUGCCAAUUUCACCACUGUCUUUCACCAAGUUGAUUCAUUUUGAACUGGCUCCAGCAAUCUACUCAGAGUUGACCUCAGAGCAAAAAAUUGAAGUGGGAAGCUGCUAAAGAAUGUGCUUGACUAAAACAAGGCAAUAAGCAAAAGGAAGUCAUAGCAUCCAGAAAAUGGGAUCCAUCAUGCGCACAAAGAAAAGGUGAAGAAAAUUUCCAGGAUGUUCAGAACCCACCAAAAACGAAAGAUUCUGGUCCAGAUCAGAAGAGAGGGAAACACUCUGAAAAAGUCCCUCAAAUACAAAAUUAAACAGAGUUUAAAUGAUGUGCUUGACCACAAUAAAAGGCUUCUUGCUCUGUAAGAUUUCUGGAAUUAAUUAGUGAUAAGCAAAGAUAAAUAUAAGCAAAUCAUCACAACAGAGUGAACACAUUCCAGUAGACCACAUGGAUGAGCUUUGGAAAAUACAGAUAUACGCAUAAUGUAAUCCCUUAAUUUCUGGGAGGCUGGAGGGAGGGAAAGUUUGAGAAGGUAAAAUGUGUGUGUUAAGAGUGGGAGUGGGUAAUAUGGUUAGGCUUUGUGUUCCCACACAAAUCUCAUCUGGAAUUGUAAUCCCCAUAAUCCCCACUUAUCAAGGGAGAAACCAGGUGGAGAUAACUGAAUCAUUGGAGGCAGUUUCCCCCAUGCUAUUCCUCUGAUAGUGAAUUCUCAUGAGAUCCAAUGAUUUUAUAACGGACUCUUCCCCCUUCACUCAGC
rnacentral:lncRNA from 1 species